rnacentral:siRNA from 1 species
CAUGGAGUGCAUAAGACCCUA